CUUCCUUCAUCUAUCCAUCCCCCCACCCAUCCACCCACCCACCCAUCUACCUGCCCAUACACCUAUCAAGCCAUCCAUCCAUCCAUCCAUCUCCCAACCCACUCGUCCACCCACCUACUCACCCGUUCAGCCAAAUACCCGCCCAUCCAUGUGUCCAUCCAUUGCUGUGUCCCAGCUGUCACUCGAUUCCACCCUCCCCCAUUCAUACUUCCACCCGAUCACCACCUGCCUCUCCACCAGUCACCCCUAUACACACCACACACGUUAUCUGUCUGUUCUCCAAUCUAACCCACACAGCCGUGCCUCAGACCAUCCGCCCCGUUCACCUCUCCAUCCACCGAACCCAGAGUAGCAUCACCAAGUCCCUCGGUGUUCCAAAGCUACGAGGGCAUUUUGGAUUUCCCGUGACCUUAACUGCCCUAAAGGAAUCUGCCCGUGGGCACGGCCGGCCUCCCCCAGCACCUCAACCAUUGGUCCCGGCCUGCUGCAGCGACACAUAAGGCAGUACUGCGAGCGUUGUGCUCGAGGCUGGCUCUGCCCACGUCCCACUCCCGCCUCCCAUCCCGGGGUAGCAGACUCUGCAGAUUGGCCAUUUAGAGCUCCGGAGAGAUGGAGGAACAGACCCUGCCCAAGCUGAACUUGGCCGAUGGCGGGGGGGGGGGGUAUUCUCCCGGACACUAGAGGCCCCCGUGCCACAAGGGGCGUUUUCCCAAACGGGGCUGGGACCGCAGGUGGUCCUGCUAGCAAAUCUGCAGGAGAAGGAGCCAGGGAGCCAGGCUGGGGCACAUCUACUCCUCCGCCCGUCCGGAGGAGGCCCGGGGAGGCCCGGCGUCUGCAACGGCACCUGUCCGCUCCCACGGUUCUGGAAGACUCCAUCUUGCAUGCUUUCUAUUCCUUCUUCCGCUCAGCCGGCCCCUGGAGUACCACCCCAAGGACCCCCUUGUGGCAGCAACGCAACAUCUGGACUCAAAGCAGAGCCUGUUGUUGGGACGGAGGCGGGGGCGCCUGUCCACCUGGACAGAGGAGCCCAGCCAGGCUGGUCUUCACGGGCCAGGGCAGGCCACCCACAGCCUCAGGGGGACUGGAUGGGUUUUUCUCUUGUUUUUUUAACUCCCCAAAAGGAGUUGGACCGGGCGUCGGUGCGUUUCCCUGUAGCGGGUUUUCCCCAGCACCGCGGGACCCGUGGCAUGCCGUCCCCGUCGCGUGUCCCCUGGCGUGCUCUGUCUGACCUGGGUGCUGCAAGACGUCACGAUUCAGGUCACGUCCGUCAUCCGUGUCUGUAAUAAAGCCAACGUUUGCCAUCA